UGGGGAAUAUUGCACAAUGGGCGCAAGCCUGAUGCAGCCAUGCCGCGUGUAUGAAGAAGGCCUUCGGGUUGUAAAGUACUUUCAGCGAGGAGGAAGGCGUUGUGGUUAAUAACCGCAACGAUUGACGUUACUCGCAGAAGAAGCACCGGCUAACUCCGUGCCAGCAGCCGCGGUAAUACGGAGGGUGCAAGCGUUAAUCGGAAUUACUGGGCGUAAAGCGCACGCAGGCGGUCUGUCAAGUCGGAUGUGAAAUCCCCGGGCUCAACCUGGGAACUGCAUCCGAAACUGGCAGGCUAGAGUCUUGUAGAGGGGGGUUGAAUUCCAGGUGUAGCGGUGAAAUGCGUAGAGAUCUGGAGGAAUACCGGUGGCGAAGGCGGCCCCCUGGACAAAGACUGACGCUCAGGUGCGAAAGCGUGGGGAGCAAACA
rnacentral:rRNA from 1 species